UUUAAUAAAUAUAGCAUUUUUGCCAGGAUACAUAUACAUUAAGAGGUCUGGAAAAUUAUGCAGCUAAAAUACUAACAACGAUCAUUUGGGAAGUGGUAGGACUCCAGGUAAAUUAAAACAUUAAGUUCUCCCAACUUCUCUUAUUAUAACAAUAUAACAAAAAAAUAGGAUAAAAUCUUUAAAAAUCACACUACUGUCCUUUCACUGAGAGAUACUGCUUCCCACUUGAGCUCCAGCCUAGAAAUCAGCCCCCAACCGCACUCAAGUGCUCUAAGACUUUGGACUAGUCACUUACCCUCUCUGGGCUUCUUGUUACAUAUAUGUAACAACAAGAAGCUGUUUUCAUUUCAAAAGCUCCUCCCAGCUCUAACAUUCUUUGACUUAGCUAAUUUCAUUCCUAGCAAAGUUCUUAAAAACAAAAACAAAACCAGCAUGAGGGGAUUUAAAUGUUGAUCAACAGUUUCUUCACAUCUUAUCCGGUUUCUUUGGCAUAUGAAGUUGUUCCCAUUCUUUGCUUCCCAUCAGUCUUUUGAAAAGGGAAUGUUAAUGCAUUUCACCAAAAAUGUGUCAAAGCACUCUAGAAAAAUAAGGGUCUUUCCCCCAGAAAGACUAUUUUUAACCUAUAUAUUGACAAAAAAAAAAAAAAAAACCCACAACAUGCCCAAACAACACACCCCACAAUCCAAGCCAACAGAGAAAUGAAAGCCAUUCACACCCAGACACACUCUCCACUGCCCUCAGUCCCUAUUCCACAGCGUUGGCCUCUCCCUUCAGAUCACACUCUCCCCCUCCAUCUAAUGAGAAUAACUAGCCUUUCUUCACGGAUAGCCAUGGGGCCACUGAAACUAUUCUCACAGAGAAGUGCAGGCACUCACUGCCCAGCAGAGAGGAUGACAAGCUGACUAGUCCAGGUGGCGGGAUGAUGUGAAACCCAAGGUGGUGACAUGGGGUAAAAUGGAGCUUGGGGAGGGUGCUGCGGGUGGAGGGGCGUGUGGUGUCCAAGUGGAGGGCAGACUGGAGCAUGUGAAGGGCAGUCUGUGAGAUGGGGAUGGGAACGUGCAGCUUGUGGGGUGUUGUGUCACCAAGACCCGCUUCCACCUCUGCGAGCCCCCCCGCCCCCAUCUCCUGCACCCACCGCCAGCUGCUCUGCUUAGGGAAAUGCAAGAAAGCCCUUGCAUCGCCUUUGAAACCUGCUUCCUUCCGGAAACCCGAAAAAUCUGCCCUUUUAGAGGAAAAGUGCCCUAUUUCCUGUUUUCCUUCCCAGCCAGGGAAGGGAUAGUCUCAGCAGUCUGUUUUAUGAAAACAGAAGAUAUUCUUCAACAAAUGUAACAUACUGAAUAUGCAUCUUGCACAUUCUCGCCCCCUUCCCCCAUACCUGGGAUCAUCUCCCUGAGAGUCACUGGUCUGGAAUCUUCUCACCUGCCUGCUCCAGGCUCCCUACUCCACCCCCACCUACUUUCUUAGCAAAUACUUUCCCAGGUGGUAUAUCCACCUAGGAACUAUCAUUCUGAGGUCUCCUCCAUUCAUGUCCACCUGCUAGCUAUGUGGCAGCAGGUAAAUCACGAAAGUACUCCGAGCUAAUAACAUCAACCUCACAGAGUCCAUUCAUUUAUUCAUGCAGUCAAUAGGUCAACUGAGCACCGACUCCAGGUGGGUCCUGGGCUACGUGGUGGGAAUACAUCAGUGAACAAGGUGAACGCCUUCCUUACACUCAUGAAAUGUGCCACCCAGUUGGGGGCCCAGACAAUAAACUAAUACACAGAUGGUGGUAAGUAAGUGUGUCCACAUAAGAAACAUGGUACAGGAGAGAAUACAAUGGAUUCAGAUCGAGGCUGUGAGCUCAAGAAAGGCUACUCCAAGAGAGGGAUGUGAAAGAUGAGCCUGAAAGAUAAGUAUGAAUAAGCCAGAUGAAACGUUCUGGGCAAAGAUCCUGAGUUGGGAGGAUUUCGUAUUUUUGAAAAGAGGCCAUGUGGCUGGCUACCAGGAGUGGAGGAGAGAGACCCCACAGAAGUUUGGAGAAUUAACCAGGGGACCCUCGAUGGAUGUGAACACAUGUACACGGACAUGCAUCCACCAUUAUGGUAUCAUACAGAGUAGUUGCACUGCCCUGAAAAUCCUGUGCUCCACAUACUCAUCCUCCCCAUGACACCUAACCCUUGGCAACCACUGAUCUUUUUAUGUCUCCGCAGUUUUGCCUUUUCCAGAAUGUCCUACGGUUGGAAUCCUACAGUAUGGAGCCUUUUCAAAUUGGCUUCUUUUACUUAGUAAAAAUGCAUUUAAAGUUCUUCCGUGUCUUUUCAUAGUUUGAUAGCUUAUUUCUUUUUAAUGCUAAAUAAUAUUUCACUGUCUGGAAGCACCGCAGCUUAUUCAUCCAUUCACCUACUAAAGGACAUCUUGGUUCCUUCAAAGUUUUGGCAAUUCUGAGUAAAGCUUCAUCAUGGAGUUUGUUUUGAGAAAAGUUUACUUAAUGCCUUUUAGGACCCUAAUGAGCAGAAACAACAAACUAGAUCAUACCUGAAGGGCAAUCAAGAAACCAGAAAACAAAUUAUUUGAUACUCUCGAGUGUAUUUAAGAGACAUUUGAAGAAGUGAUCUUCUUAAGAUAUUAUUAAGAGAUACUAUUAAGAAAAGCUUACUGCUUUUCUUCUAAUACCAGAAUAUAUGGCCUACAAGAGAAAAGAAUUUUUUGUUCGAUUCCCGGUCCCUAGUCCCUUGAAAUGUCAGGUAAAUGGUGGACACUCCACUGGGAUUUUUUAAAUAUAUGGAGGGAUUUAUGUUCUCUACAGCAUUAUUUUUUCUUUUGUAAAGUAACAUUGUCAUUGAGAUACAAUGCACAUACCCUGAUGUUCACCCUGUUAAAAUGUACGACUCCGUGGUUUCUGGUAUAUUUGCAAAUUUGCACAUCAAUCUUCACUAUUUCUAGAACAUUUUCUUCACCCCCAGAAGGAAAUUCAGACCCAGCGGAAAGAUAAAGUGGGUUGCAUAGGGUAAAUACACCCUGGAACAGCAAACCGAGGAGCUCAGGUCAGUGAGCUUACUGUUCCAGCUUGGUAAACGAGGGUAAAGAACAAAAUGUCUCUAGCUUGAUCACAAGCCUGAAGUACAGAAACCCUAAGAGAUGCUAUCAAUGUCUAGAAUAAGGAAACAAUGCCCCCAGCUGACUCCCAAAGUCAAACUGUGGGAAGUCUUCGAAGAUGAAAAGCACAAUCGUAUUUUCCAGUGUCUGUAUUAUCAUAAUUGUCCAUGUCCCUAGAAAUAUAUUCUCAGUUAACCAUAUUGCUCGUGCUGGCAUUAAAUGUGGGGCCUAGUGGCCUAUGGAGGGAGAGAGGCUCUUUCAAAAAAAGGAAUCUUCUAGCAUCAACUCUAGAAUGCUCAUAUUAACAGGAUGCAAAUGGACCAAAAAUCAUUUUGACUUAGUUUUGCCAUGUGUUCACUGUCUGGUCAGAGGUACAUGCCCAUGAAUUCCUUUUAUUUCUCCUCCUGUGCCUGCCUCUGACCCCUUCCUGUCUUAUGUCUCAUCCUGGCAGCUUGGUUGCUCUGCAUAACUGCCAGGUGUGAAGGAAGAAUGGCUUGCAAUCCUUACUCACUCGAAAUUGGGGGAGUCAGACUUCCUCACCGCUGGGAGAAGCUUCCUGCUGUUUCUAUUCCUCAGGCCAGCCCGUCAAAGCCUUCGGCCCUAAGGGCAGUUUCCUUAGCCCUACCUAGGAAGGCCCAGUCAGGUGGAAACGAGGAAAGCUCAGGGAUUUCUGGCUCCACACUCUCCAUUUGUGAUCCAGCGGGCACAGCUCACUGCUCCCACUUGGAGGGUAUCUAGAGCAGAGCGAGGAUGGAUGGUGCAAAUUAUCUGGUACUCUUGGGCUUUCCUGCUCUGGACCAUGUCUCCACUUGGGGCUGGACAACGGACCCUACCAGGUGCACCCAAGGUUCCUGAAUCAGACUGGAAUGGGGCAAACAAGAGAAUUUUGUCCCUAGAAAGCCCACUGGUCACUCUGAGUAUAGGACAAAGGUCAGUCCUGACAAUGGCCUGCAAGACCCAAUGUAAGCUGAGCUCCUUCCCCUUCAGUGACCCCAUUAUGCCUCCGACUCCACCUAUCUUCUCACUCUAGCCAUACUCAUUUCCUUGCUGUUCCUCAACUGUCAGGCCCAUCCCACAUCAGGGCUUUGGCAUUUGCUGUUCCCUCUGUUUGUAACACUCUCCUGAGAUAUUCUCACGGCUCGCCUUUUUACUGCCCUUUAGAACUUUGCUAAAAUGCCACCUGCUUCUUGAGGUGGUUCGUGACUCCCUUAAGUCUAAUUAUACCACUCUUCCUUCCCUGGUUUAUUUGUUCCUUUGCACCACUUAGGAUCCUAGGUUUUAACUAUGUAUUUUCUUUUUUUUCCCCUAAUACCAGAAUAUAUGGUCCAUGAGGGGAAGGACUUUUUUUUUAAGUUUAUUUAUUUUUAACUAACCUCUACGCCCAAUGUGGGGCUCGGACUCACGAAUCUGAGAUCAAGAGUCACACGCUCUUCAGACUGAGGCAGCCAGGCAUAUGAGGGGAAGGACUUUUGUUCAAUUCCUGGUCCCUAGUCCCUAGACAUGUCAGGUAAGCAGCAGAUACUCCAUAGAUAGUUUUUGAAUACAUAAGUGCAUCUAUCCUCUUUAUAGCAUUCUUUUUUCCUUUGUAAAAUAACAUUUUUAUUGAUAGAAUUCACAUAACAUGAUGUUUGCCUUGUUAAAAUGUACAAUUCAGUGGUUUUUAGUAUAUUUGCAAAUUUGUGCCUCAAUCCUGACUGUAUCUAAUUCUAGAACAUUUUCCUCACCCCCCAAAAAAACUUUAUACCCAUUAGUAGUCACUCACCAUUUCCCCAUUCCCCAGCCACUGGCAACCACUAAUCUACUUUCUGUUGAUGAACUGCAAUAUUCUGGACCUUCCUAACAAAUGAAAUCAUUAAAUCUAUGGUCUUCUCUUGUGGCUUCUUCUACUUAGCAUCAUGUUUCCAAGGUUCGUCCAUGUAUCAGAACUUCAAUUCUUAUUUAUAUUGAGAUAGUUCACAUAUUUUAAAGUGCAUAAUUCAGUGGGUUUUAGUAUAUUCACAAAAUUUUUGUGUAAACAUAUGGUUUCGAUGUUCUUGGGAAAUACACCCAAGCGUUGAAUUGCUGGGUCAUAUGGUAACUCUGUGCUUAACUGUUUGAGUUACCGGAAAAACAGUUUCCAAAACGUCUGUCCUACUUUACACUCCCAACCUAGGAGUGUUUACUCAACAAAAGAGCUGAAUCUCAACAAAAACAGCCGAUUUUAUGGUAUUUUAAAUUACCCUAGUUUCAUCUACCACUCCACAGUUCUGUGGUAGCCUUGAAAAACAACAGCCCACAUUUUCAGUACUAGGAGGGUGCAGAGUGGUCCUCUUUUAAGGCCUCAUCCCCCCAAAUCUUCAUUAUUUAACCUAAUGGAUUACUGGAAAACCCUCCUCCAAAGACUCAUCUUUAUUUGAACUGACGAGAAGCUCGCCUAGUGCUUAAAAAAAAAAAAGAAAAAAA
rnacentral:lncRNA from 1 species